AGAGUUUGAUCCUGGCUCAGGAUGAACGCUAGCUACAGGCUUAACACAUGCAAGUCGAGGGGCAGCAUGGUCUUAGCUUGCUAAGGCCGAUGGCGACCGGCGCACGGGUGAGUAACACGUAUCCAACCUGCCGUCUACUCUUGGACAGCCUUCUGAAAGGAAGAUUAAUACAAGAUGGCAUCAUGAGUCCGCAUGUUCACAUGAUUAAAGGUAUUCCGGUAGACGAUGGGGAUGCGUUCCAUUAGAUAGUAGGCGGGGUAACGGCCCACCUAGUCUUCGAUGGAUAGGGGUUCUGAGAGGAAGGUCCCCCACAUUGGAACUGAGACACGGUCCAAACUCCUACGGGAGGCAGCAGUGAGGAAUAUUGGUCAAUGGGCGAGAGCCUGAACCAGCCAAGUAGCGUGAAGGAUGACUGCCCUAUGGGUUGUAAACUUCUUUUAUAAAGGAAUAAAGUCGGGUAUGGAUACCCGUUUGCAUGUACUUUAUGAAUAAGGAUCGGCUAACUCCGUGCCAGCAGCCGCGGUAAUACGGAGGAUCCGAGCGUUAUCCGGAUUUAUUGGGUUUAAAGGGAGCGUAGAUGGAUGUUUAAGUCAGUUGUGAAAGUUUGCGGCUCAACCGUAAAAUUGCAGUUGAUACUGGAUAUCUUGAGUGCAGUUGAGGCAGGCGGAAUUCGUGGUGUAGCGGUGAAAUGCUUAGAUAUCACGAAGAACUCCGAUUGCGAAGGCAGCCUGCUAAGCUGCAACUGACAUUGAGGCUCGAAAGUGUGGGUAUCAAACAGGAUUAGAUACCCUGGUAGUCCACACGGUAAACGAUGAAUACUCGCUGUUUGCGAUAUACGGCAAGCGGCCAAGCGAAAGCGUUAAGUAUUCCACCUGGGGAGUACGCCGGCAACGGUGAAACUCAAAGGAAUUGACGGGGGCCCGCACAAGCGGAGGAACAUGUGGUUUAAUUCGAUGAUACGCGAGGAACCUUACCCGGGCUUAAAUUGCAGAUGAAUUACGGUGAAAGCCGUAAGCCGCAAGGCAUCUGUGAAGGUGCUGCAUGGUUGUCGUCAGCUCGUGCCGUGAGGUGUCGGCU
rnacentral:rRNA from 1 species